GAUCUGGCUCAGGACGAACGCUGGCGGCGUGCCUAACACAUGCAAGUCGAGCGAGGAGAUCCUCGGGAUGAUCCUAGCGGCGGACGGGUGAGUAACACGUGGGCAACCUGCCUCAUAGAGAGGAAUAGCCUUCCGAAAGGGAGAUUAAUACCUCAUAACAUUGCAGUUUCGCAUGGAACAGCAAUUAAAGGAGUAAUCCGCUAUGAGAUGGGCCCGCGGCGCAUUAGCUAGUUGGUGAGGUAAUGGCUCACCAAGGCGACGAUGCGUAGCCGACCUGAGAGGGUGAUCGGCCACAUUGGGACUGAGACACGGCCCAGACUCCUACGGGAGGCAGCAGUGGGGAAUAUUGCACAAUGGGGGAAACCCUGAUGCAGCCAACGCCGCGUGAGUGAUGACGGCCUUCGGGUUGUAAAGCUCUGUCUUCAGGGACGAUAAUGACGGUACCUGAGGAGGAAGCCACGGCUAACUACGUGCCAGCAGCAGC
rnacentral:rRNA from 1 species